CCUGGCAAAUCGAAUCAAGAGUUCACCUUCAGUAACUUGUAUGUGUUAGAUGUCUCAUUUAUAAUGCAUCAUCUGUCUUCCGUCCGUUGUCUCAAAGAGAAUUUGAAAGUGAAAGUCAUGUACUGUGCGAUCUGAGGCAUUGGGUUACAACGGUUGUUCUUUUCUUUGCUCUCCAUUUAUUGAUGCUGCCUUGGUCUUUUGUACUGAAUGUCUGAAACGCAUCAUAGGCUGUCAAUCUGUGACUUUUCUUUUCAAAGAUGGAGGAAAUAUGGAUGAACUAAUAAAUGUCACAUCUGCCUUGAGUGGAAGACAUCCAGCAGAUUUGCCAUUAUGUUAAACCUUAAGUGAUACUAAAAGGCGUUUAGAGUCCCAAUUGGAGUCUUGUUUUCUGUUUGCAGUUUCAUUUCCCAUGCAAACAGCUUUGGAAAAACUGCCACAUGAGAGAUAAAUUGGACCACUCAGACUGGAUGAUCUUGCAUAUCAGGCUGCUCAAGCAAGAUUUCCAAUCUGCUGUUGAGGAACAACAUAAUAACAGCUAUUUUUUCAGUUUGCUUGUGAGCAAUUUUAUGCAAAAUUAUGCCAUAAAAAAUAUGAAGUUUACCAAAAUAGCGAACCCUUUCUAAGUUGUUUUGGUUCUCCUAUAUUUUACAGUACUAUAAAAAAUACUCAUGUCUUUCUCAGCAUUUUCAAACUAUUUUUGGGAUUUACAAAGUCACACAAGUGCUGACUUCACAUCCGUAAUGGACAGAUGUCAUUUCCAAAACAGCUUUUUUUUCUCAUAAAAUCAAAAAUGUCAAAUAAAACUAAUUUGUUCCAUGGAGAGCCAACUCUUAUCCUUUUGAUUAGUAUUCUUUCUUUAGGAUUGUGCAGUUUAGUUUAUAGAAUUUUUGCACUUUCAACAUUUUUUUUUCUUGUUUAAACUACUCAUUUAAAUGGAGUUGAAACGACACAAUUCUUAAGUUUUUUUUUUCAACUUAAUUGUUCAAUCCACAUAAAUUUGUAAAAACGAUUAAACUAACUUAACGGAUUUGUGUUGAGACAACAUGAAAGAAUUAUGUGGAACUUAGGCUUUUCUUACAGUGUAUGUUGUGUACUGUAAACUCGUGUACUUUUUUAAUCACUUCCAUGACAUGUUUAAUUUGCUUCAUUUAAAAUACAAAAAAUGCAUUUACAGAUUCAUAUUUUUCUAAUCUUUUAACUCUGUGGUUAGUUGUUUUGGAAAAUAUCAACAAUAUUCAAUAUGCUGUGGUCACAUGCGAUCUCUGUGAAUUUUACGUUUCCAGUUUUUGCUGCUAAUGUCUCUCCCAUAACACUGGAAUUGCUCUUUUCUGAUUUAGGCUUUCAAUUUGUUGAUCUAGACCAGAUGUGUGCUAGAGAGCUGCCAAACUUGGACAAAAAGGUCUUCUCUGAAGCUGUUCUCCAGAAUGUUCAUCUUGUUGUAGAUUUUGCUCUCCGAGCGCUUGAUCCUGUCAGCUGAUCGCACCUUCUCCAGCGCUGCCUCAAACCUCUCCAGGUGACCAGAGAGAAUAACCAUGUUCUCUUUCUGCUUGCCUUCCAUUUCCACCUAUGCCCCAUAUAUAUAGAAAUCAUAACAGUUUGAAUGUGGAUAUAGAUGAGAGAAAUUCAACAUAGACAAAUAAUCUUCUUUGUUUAAAAUUUGUAGGAAUUUAGUUUCUUCUUCUUAUUAUUUUUUCCAUAAAAGCACUUCAAGAAACAACUAUCACAGUGAUGAAAAUAAGAGAAAUAAGAUAAAUAAAAUAAAAUUGCAACACUACUCUUUCACACUUUAUAAUCAUCUCGAUCCACUCUUCUUCAGUCCCACUGAGUUGGUUUAUAACUUUGAUAUAAGGUUUUUCCAGAAAGUUUCAGUCAGGUUUAGUACAGGGCUAUUAGCUGGCCAUUUCCUUAUUUGAGUGUGUGCAAAAAAAAAAAAAAAAAAAAA